GGGGGUCUUCUGCCUGCACCACCCUAGAGACACCUGUGAAACUUUGAGGGUUGCCUGCAUGAAGUCAUGCAAACAUAGACCCAAUGCUAACGUUUGUCAGGGGAAAGAACAGGUGCAAAGCUCAAGGCUGAGAUACUACACACGUAGCUAGUUUAUGAAAAUGCUUGACGUGGUUAUUUGCACACUUGGCUGGUAGCCCUGUUUGCUGAAGCUAUUCUAAAAGCUAUUUUUGUGCCUGUUCUGUCAUCCUUGGUGGUAUUUCUUUAUUUUUUUUCUCAAGUGAGCUUGUUCUUGAUCCGCCAGGAUGGGUCCUUCAGCAGUAAGUUGGGGGAGCCUGCCUGCAACAUUCCCCACGCUUCCCUUGUUCCUGCAAAUAGGCUAGGCAUAAACAUGGCCAUAACAGGGAGGGACGCACAAUGCUGUGUGAUGGGAUUUGGAUAGCUGCCUUCUUUAGGGAUCGUUUGAAAAUCCUUGCCAAAAUCUUCUGUUUCCUUUAGAUUUCUCUGCCUAAAGCAUUUAACUGCUGUGAUACAAACCUUUUCCAUGUGAGCUGUCCAAGUCUCUCGGAGGAAAACAGAAUCUUCUCUCCUUAUCUCACCAGUAUCUGUGGGAAGGAAGACUGGAGGUACAGCAAUUUUGGAAAACAAACAUAGGACACUUGAGGGCAGGACGGCUCCAAAAUGCAAAUGGAAAGCAGAUUCAUAAGCUGAAAUCCAGAAAUCUUGGAUUUCUUUAUGAAGUAUUCUGGGACUUGCGGCUCUUGAAAAGCACAGUAAAAUAAACAGUGGAUUAAAUGAAGCAAAGCCAUGCAAUUCUAGUUGAGGGAGCUCCAAAGUGGAACAAAUAGAGUGUUUUUUGGCACCUCUA